ensembl:lncRNA novel transcript
GCCCCUGCGAAGUUGGUGGUGAUUGUGGUGGUGGAGCUAAUGACAUGUGUGCAGAAACUCUUCUGAAUGGGACUUCCCUGAUCCUGUUUUUACCUGAUCUUCAUGCUCAAUAGAAAAAGCCUCAGCUUUGGAAUCAGCUUCCCAGUGAACACCGAGAGUUGAGUUUAGCAACUGUUUGGACUGGCCAUGUAACAGGGCCGUCCAGGUAGCAUGGCAUGGUACUGGAACACUAUGUCUUCUCUCUGACCUCUCGGAAUAUCUCUGUGAUUCAAUGUGUUGGCCCAUUGGAGGCCCUGGGGCAAUGGCUGGCCAAGAUUACAAAUUAGUGACUGUUGAGGCUGGAAUCUGUACCGAGGUCAUGGGAACCCCCUGCACUGCCCCUUCUAAUCACCCUCCUGCUUGGACCCUGGGAGUAUGACAAAGAGUCAGAUAAGACAACUGAGGCUGAAGAUCACACAACCAGUAAAUGGAACAGCCAGAAAUCAAAUGUUAUAUAUUGGCCCUGAAGUGGGGAUAAAGCAGCUAAAAGAAAGUGUACUUUACAUUAAAUUUUAAGGUAUCCAAAAGCAAAUCAAUAAGCCAUACUCUAGUUACAUUAAGAUAUUUUCACAAGUGCUAGGUUAAGUAAUAUAAAAUUACCAUUUUUGUAGGUCAAAAGUAAUGGAAUAUCAUGCUUGUAUAUGGUUUGAUCUAAUAUAUAUCAUUAUCAGGUUCUACUAAUACAGAGUUUUCUGCCUUUACUUAACCAUCACAAUAAACUAAGGACUUCCAAGCUAGUAAGAAUAAUGACACAGAUAAUAAUUAGAAAAGUAUUCAUAACAUUAUCAACAAACACUUCUACCAUUUUUUGAACAACUACUUCUAUGUAUAUUUUCACUGUAGUAAAAAAUCCCUAACAAAAAAUUUAUCAUCUUAAUCAUUUUAAGUGUACAGUUCAGUAGUGCUAAGUAUAUUUACAUUACUGUGAAACAGAUCUCUAGAACAUUUUAUCUUGCAAAUUUGAAACUCUGUACUCCUUAAACAAGAAGAACCCCAUGAGAGACCAUGUGGCUGGUGGUGUCAGAUUAUAGGCUUUUUCAAGAGAAGUCAAUCUGGAAUUUUGUGUAAAAUUUUCCAAGCUUUAAUGUUAGCUUUAAAAUAGCUUUAUCGAGAUAUAAUUCAAAUGCCAUAAAUCUAUCCAUUUAAAGUGUACAUUUUAACAGUUUUUAAUCACCCCCAAAGGAGACCUUGUACCAUUAAGCAGUCACUCCUCAUUCCCCCCUCCUCCCAGAUGCUAGUAACCACCAUUCUGUUUCCUGUUGCUAUGAAUUGACUACUUAAGUGCCAGUAGCCUAUCAUUUUUGAGUAUGUAAAUCUGCAAGGUGCAUUACACACUUUAAUCCUAACAAAACUACAAAUUAAGUGCUAUUAUUCUUACUUUAUAGUCUAGAAAAUGAAAAAGUUUUAGUAGAUACAAAGUUACAUCUGAAAGUAAUUAAUUGCUACGUAUUUUCAUAUCUGU